CCUACGGGAGGCAGCAGUGGGGAAUAUUGCACAAUGGGCGCAAGCCUGAUGCAGCAACGCCGCGUGAGGGACGACGGCCUUCGGGUUGUAAACCUCUUUUAGUAGGGAAGAAGCGAAAGUGACGGUACCUGCAGAAAAAGCACCGGCUAACUACGUGCCAGCAGCCGCGGUAAUACGUAGGGUGCAAGCGUUGUCCGGAAUUAUUGGGCGUAAAGAGCUCGUAGGCGGUUUGUCGCGUCUGCUGUGAAAACCCCGAGGCUCAACCUCGGGCCUGCAGUGGGUACGGGCAGACUAGAGUGCGGUAGGGGAGAUUGGAAUUCCUGGUGUAGCGGUGGAAUGCGCAGAUAUCAGGAGGAACACCGAUGGCGAAGGCAGAUCUCUGGGCCGUAACUGACGCUGAGGAGCGAAAGCAUGGGGAGCGAACAGGAUUAGAUACCCUGGUAGUCCAUGCCGUAAACGUUGGGAACUAGAUGUAGGGACCAUUCCACGGUUUCUGUGUCGCAGCUAACGCAUUAAGUUCCCCGCCUGGGGAGUCGGCCGCGAAGGCUAAAACUCAAAGUAUAGUUGCGUGNGAGNGCGCGACGCGACGACGGAGGAGGAG
rnacentral:rRNA from 1 species